GCUUUGUGUCUAGUGGAUGCAGCUGUUCACGGUCAGCUUUCCAAAGGGAGAAGGGGCAGAGCAAUUCCAUAGUUUAUGCAUGAGGGCUGUUUUUCCUCAGUAGCCUCCAUAGCUGGGCUGGAGCGAUAGCA
ensembl:snoRNA